rnacentral:rRNA from 1 species
CCCGUCACAUCAUGAAAGCCGCUUGUACCCGAAGUCGCCGUGCCAACUCGCAAGAGAGGCAGGUGCCGAAGGUAUGGGUGGUGAUUGGGAUG